AACGAACGCUGGCGGCAUGCCUAACACAUGCAAGUCGAACGAGACCUUCCUGGUCUAGUGGCGCACGGGUGCGUAACGCGUGGGAAUCUGCCCUUGGGUACGGAAUAACAGUUAGAAAUGACUGCUAAUACCGUAUAAUGACUUCGGUCCAAAGAUUUAUCGCCCAAGGAUGAGCCCGCGUAGGAUUAGCUAGUUGGUGAGGUAAAGGCUCACCAAGGCGACGAUCCUUAGCUGGUCUGAGAGGAUGAUCAGCCACACUGGGACUGAGACACGGCCCAGACUCCUACGGGAGGCAGCAGUGGGGAAUAUUGGACAAUGGGCAAAAGCCUGAUCCAGCAAUGCCGCGUGAGUGAUGAAGGCCUUAGGGUGUAAAGCUCUUUUACCCCGGGA
rnacentral:rRNA from 1 species